GACGAACGCUGGCGGCGUGCUUAACACAUGCAAGUCGAACGGACAGACAGAGAGCUUGCUCUCUUGAAGUUAGUGGCGAACGGGUGAGUAACGCGUAAUCAACCUGCCCUUCAGAGGGGGAUAACAACGGGAAACCGUUGCUAAUACCGCGUACGAUUCAUGAACGGCAUCGUUUAUGAAUGAAAGGUGGCCUCUAUGUAUAAGCUAUCGCUGAGGGAGGGGAUUGCGUCCGAUUAGCUAGUUGGAGGGGUAACGGCCCACCAAGGCAAUGAUCAGUAGCCGGUCUGAGAGGAUGAACGGCCACAUUGGGACUGAGACACGGCCCAAACUCCUACGGGAGGCAGCAGUGGGGAAUCUUCCGCAAUGGACGAAAGUCUGACGGAGCAACGCCGCGUGAGUGAUGAAGGUCUUCGGAUUGUAAAGCUCUGUUAAUCGGGACGAAAGAGUUCUGCGUGAAUAAUGCAGAAAAGUGACGGUACCGGAAUAGAAAGCCACGGCUAACUACGUGCCAGCCGCCGCGGUAA
rnacentral:rRNA from 1 species